rnacentral:rRNA from 1 species
AAAGCCCCGCAAGGGGUAAGUAGAGUGGCAAACGGGUGAGUAACACGUGGGUGACCUGCCUUCGAGUGGGGGAUAACGUCCCGAAAGGGACGCUAAUACCGCAUGACAUCCUGCCUUUGAAGAGGCGGAGAUCAAAGCUGGGGAUCGCAAGACCUAGCGCUUGGAGAGGGGCCCGCGUCCGAUUAGCUAGUUGGUGAGGUAACGGCUCACCAAGGCAACGAUCGGUAGCCGGCCUGAGAGGGCGGACGGCCACACUGGGACUGAGACACGGCCCAGACUCCUACGGGAGGCAGCAGUGGGGAAUUGUUCGCAAUGGGCGCAAGCCUGACGACGCAACGCCGCGUGGAGGAUGAAGAUCUUCGGGUCGUAAACUCCUGUCGAAUGGGACGAACGGGUUGCGGGUUAACAGCCCGCGACCGUGACGGUACCGUUAAAGGAAACCCCGGCUAACUCCGUGCCAGCAGCCGCGGUAAUACGGGGGGGGUAAGCGUUGUUCGGAGUUACUGGGCGUAAAGGGCUCGUAGGCGGCCAACUAAGUCAUACGUGAAAUCCCUCAGCUUAACUGGGGAACUGCGUGUGAUACUGGAUGGCUUGGAUUUGGGAGAGGGAUGCGGAAUUCCAGGUGUAGCGGUGAAAUGCGUAGAUAUCUGGAGGAACACCGGUGGCGAAGGCGGCAUCCUGGACCAAUAUUGACGCUGAGGAGCGAAAGCCAGGGGAGCAAACGGGAUUAGAUACCCCGGUAGUCCUGGCCCUAAACGAUGAAUGCUUGGUGUAGCGGGUAUCGAUCCCUGCUGUGCCGAACUAAACGCAUUAAGCAUUCCGCCUGGGAGUAC